rnacentral:rRNA from 1 species
UACGUAGGGUGCAAGCGUUGUCCGGAAUUAUUGGGCGUAAAGAGCUCGUAGGCGGUUCGUCGCGUCGGCCGUGAAAACCUGAGGCUCAACCUCAGGCCUGCAGUCGAUACGGGCGGACUUGAGUACUGCAGGGGAGACUGGAAUUCCUGGUGUAGCGGUGAAAUGCGCAGAUAUCAGGAGGAACACCGGUGGCGAAGGCGGGUCUCUGGGCAGUAACUGACGCUGAGGAGCGAAAGCGUGGGGAGCGAACAGG